GGAUUCUAAACUAAACUAUUUCUUG
rnacentral:tRNA from 1 species